AUACUUACCUGGCAGGGGAGAUACCGCGAUCACAAAGGUGUUUUUCCCAGGGCGAGACUCACCCAUUGCACUCCAGGCGUGCUGACCCCUGUGAUUUCCCCAAAUGUGGGAAACUCGACUGCAUAGUUUGUGGUAGUGGGGGGCUGCGUUCAUGCUCUCCCCUG